UUCCUUUAAUUAUUUUUGCUAUGUGGCCCAGGAUUCUGUAUUCUAAGAAACUCUAACCAUAACUCUUAACCAUAUGGUUGUCCUGACAAGAUCUGCAUGAUGACAACCCAAGACGCUGUUGCAACAUUAUCAGAGGAAGUCUCACAAGAGCACUACAAGAAAUGUUAGAGGCAGUGAAAAAUUGCCAAAAGAGGUUAAAUGAGUGUACUCUAGGGAUGAACCCUGUAAUGGUGGUCAGUCCGUCCUAAAAACGUUUACAUAAAAAGUGCUGACUGGGCAUAACUGAUGCUUUUAGCUAUUUAUCUUUACUUCAGUACUUACCCAGCCAUACUGAGAGAUCUUUAAACUUGGCUUUCUGUACCAUGUUGCCAAUAUUUCAUUUUCUCUCACUAAUAAACAAAUUCUGUCUUUCUUAGAACGUAAGAGCUGUGCAACUGACACAUCUGGAAUUCUGGAGGAUCAUGGAAUACACAGCUCUUCUUGAUGGGGACACGAACUUCAUUAGAAAUAACUUCGGCUUUCAGGAAGCAAACAUUACACACCCACCUCCUCCACUGGGAAAACUGAGGCUCACUGUGUGCUCACAGCCACGUCCAGGUGCAGUGUUUUCUGCCUGAGGUGAUGACAUUAGUCUUUAAUGUACAGGUAUUCUAGUAAUGCACGUAGGUAAAAGAAAUGGGCCUUGCAUGUCUUCAGUACCUCUGGCUGCCUGGGGCUCAAAGGGCUCUGGGUGAGGCACUUGUGGUGCAUUAUAUUUGAGCAGCAAAGGCUUCUGGGUGAGGCAGUUGGCGUGCAUUAUAUUUGAGCGCAAAGGCUUCUGGGUGAGGCAGUUGGCGUGCAUUGUAUUUGAGCGCAAAGGCUUCUGGGUAAAGCAGUUAACGAGCUUUGCUGUUGCUCCUGCGCAAAGGCCUCUGGAUGAAGCAGUUGGUGUGCGGUGCUGCUGCCUGUACUUGGAGGACUCCUCUGGACUCCUGGGCUGUGCGCUCGGGGAGACGGUUGUUUCAGCCAUUAGGCUCAGGCAGAAGAGUUCAUCUGUUGCUGCAAGUUCCCAAGUCUGUCUUCUGUGGGUCUCAGCUGUCAUCUGUGGGUCUGACCAUCUGCUGGUCUUGGAAGCCUUCAGUCAGAUGUAUCUGGACCAAGUGAUUUGGUUGCAAGAGGCCAGGACUCCUGCCAUCUUGGAAGCCUCUCCAUUACCUGUUCACACGACACACGGAGCAUCCUUUGUGCCCUGAAGAAAACUCUGACCCCUCAACAGAAUAUGAAUGGCAGGGCAGAAAUACAAGUUGAGGCUACAUAAGUCAGUGCUUUGGGAACAGUUGUCAAGGCCCUGGUGAAACUCUCCACACCCAAUGACAAGUAGGUUUUUGAAGACACUGGGAUAAGGCGACUUCAGAGAGUAUUGACAGUAUUUCAAAAGGACUCAAAACCUAAUCCUGUAAAAAAAAAAGUGUCAACCCUAUUUCCACCUGUUUCUUGAGGAAGAAGGUGCAAACCUCUCACCACAGCACCCAGGAUUCUGAGCAGGAGGGUCAGCAGUUGUUCCUGUGUGUCACACUCUUGGUAACACUUCUGCCUAUGAAAUUAAACUCAGCUCUCUGAGGACUCAGUGGCUGAUCUUCUCUCAAACAUAGACUGCCUAAGAUAAGAAAUCAUUCAGCUUUCAAUAUCUCAAAAUUUUGACAGGAUAUCUCCAUAUUUCACUGCUGUUCUUAUCCAGGAUCAAGCUUGGAACCAGCUCCCGCUCUGACUUCAGCUGUCAAACACUGCAGACUUCACCUUGACUCUACUCAACGCACAGCGUGUGCCUCACCUUUCAUGCAGUCAGACACCCC
rnacentral:sRNA from 1 species